CGCUGGCGGCGUGCCUAACACAUGCAAGUCGAACGAGAAAGUGGAGCAAUCCAUGAGUACAGUGGCGUACGGGUGAGUAACACGUGACUAACCUACCCUCGAGUGGGGAAUAACUUCGGGAAACCGAGGCUAAUACCGCAUAACAUCUACGGAUCAAAUGCGCAAGCAGCUUGAGGAGGGGGUCGCGGCUGAUUAGCUAGUUGGCGGGGUAACGGCCCACCAAGGCAAUGAUCAGUAGCCGGCCUGAGAGGGCGCACGGCCACACUGGAACUGAAACACGGUCCAGACUCCUACGGGAGGCAGCAGUGGGGAAUUUUGCGCAAUGGGGGAAACCCUGACGCAGCAACGCCGCGUGGAGGAUGAAGCCCCUUGGGGUGUAAACUCCUUUCGAUCGGGACGAUUAUGACGGUACCGGAUGAAGAAGCACCGGCUAACUCUGUGCCAGCAGCCGCGGUAAUACAGAGGGUGCAAGCGUUGUUCGGAAUUAUUGGGCGUAAAGGGUGCG
rnacentral:rRNA from 1 species